rnacentral:rRNA from 1 species
CGCGUAGGCGGCCUGCUAAAUCACACGUGAAAUCCCUCAGCUUAACUGGGGAACUGCGUGUGAUACUGGAUGGCUUGGAUUUGGGAGAGGGAUGCGGAAUUCCAGGUGUAGCGGUGAAAUGCGUAGAUAUCUGGAGGAACACCGGUGGCGAAGGCGGCAUCCUGGACCAAUAUUGACGCUGAGGAGCGAAAGCCAGGGGAGCAAACG